rnacentral:rRNA from 1 species
UGGCGGCAAUAGCGCAGUGGUACCACCUGAAUCCAUACCGAACUCAGAAGUUAAACGCUGCAGCGCCGAUGGUAGUGCAGGGUCUCCCUGUGUGAGAGUAGGACACUGCCA